rnacentral:lncRNA from 1 species
CCCGGUCGCACACUACUGCUGUGCCGCGUGUCGCACCGCCAAAGUACACGUGCGCCAUUUUUGUUCGUGUGCCACCCAAUGCCAGCGCCAUACUAGCUAGGCCAAUAGGGCAUCGGUCUGCACUAACCACCACGCGCGAUGGGACACUGGCAUUUGUGUUUGAUAGGUUGUGAGAUAAUGGAGGAGGUCACUUUCCCAGCCACUGCAACAGCUCUAUAAAUUACAGUGUGCUAGUAUCUGAAAACAUAGAGCGGGCAGCAUGGUAGUAUUACAUUUCCGGUACAUUUCGAGCGAUGCAUAGUUUCCAGCUAAAUCAACCUUGAUGAGAGAUAUAUAGCUAGAUUAUUUUUGCUAUCCAUGCUGGCAAUAGCAACACGUUAAAUUUUGCCACCACGAAUAUCGACGUCUUAAUUGUUAUCUCCAUCGUAUAUCUUAGCAAGCUAGCUAGGCUUGGGAGACAAUAGGGAACUAAGGCAUACAAUCAUAGGCUGCUUCUGUACUUCUGGGCUUCUAACCAUGCAAGGUCUUUCGACACGAUUGAAUUCGCAACACCACGGUUAAUUGCCACACAAAAUGUCUCAUCUUUAGAAGUAAAAUGUAGACGUCAAGACCUCAAAAGAGCAGCAUGUAGCAAAAUAUACGAUGUGCCGGCGUUGCAAGGACCCCUGCCUUUGACAGUUCAAUGACGGGAAUUCAUGGCGUGUUGACUUAUUUGCUUCUCAGUUGGAGAUUGCAGGGACGAGAAGUUGAACCUCAUGCUCUUCCCCUUGCUCGACGGGGUUGGAACGAACGGAAAAUCUGAUAGCCUGUCACCUGGACGUUGCUGCCCAUCUGUCCUGCUCCCCCAUGUCAUUGUCGUCUGGUCACCAGACGCCCAACUUGAAGUUUAGGGUCCAUGAUUGUAUGUGAUCCAUUCCUUUAGGAUCUGAUCAAGCUUUGCGGGUUUCAAUCUGGAUGGCCCAUUAAUUUUAAGCUUUGGGUUGGAAGGUGCAAAUUUUGAUGCAAGUAAUUGGUUGCUCCUAGUAGACAGUUCGUCUUUAGUUCUUUUUGCAGGAGAUUCUACAUAGCUGUAGUUCUGUCUGAUGCAUGUGCAUAAUCAAUCUUCUUUCCGUGAAAAAAAUCGCACUCCCUGAUGCAAACUUCCAUGUCACCAAUUUUUUAUGUUUUCUCCCUCACAAAAGGUUAAUUUGUGCUUAUAUUUAUGUAACUGUUAUGUCAUCAUAGCUUUAGCGAUCAUGAUUUGUUUUCAAAUAUUUAUUAGGAAUUUUGAAGGAUUGAAUUCUUAUUAACAAAAAUCCGCCAGAUCAUUUGGUACAAAGGAAUGGCUUUCCAAGAUUCCUACGAAAUUCAUAUGGACUGGGCUAUUCCAAAGGAAUUUUGUAGGAAACUAAACACGAGGUCUUACCUAAUGUUUUCGCAAUUUGUGUCU